rnacentral:rRNA from 1 species
UACGUAGGUGACCAGCGUUGUCCGGAUUUACUGGGCGUAAAGAGCGCGCAGGCGGUCGUUCAAGUCGAGUGUGAAAGCCCCCGGCUCAACUGGGGAGGGUCAUUCGAUACUGAUCGACUGGAAGGCAGGAGAGGGAAGCGGAAUUCCCGGUGUAGUGGUGAAAUGCGUAGAUAUCGGGAGGAACACCAGUGGCGGAGGCGGCUUCCUGGCCUGUUCUUGACGCUGAGGCGCGAAAGCUAGGGGAGCAAACGGG